GAUGAACGCUAGCUACAGGCUUAACACAUGCAAGCCGAGGGGAAACGAUAUUGGAAGCUUGCUUCCGAUAGGCGUCGACCGGCGCACGGGUGAGUAACGCGUAUCCAACCUGCCCACCACUUGGGGAUAACCUUGCGAAAGUAAGACUAAUACCCAAUGAUUUCUCUAGAAGACAUCUGAAGGAGAUUAAAGAUUCAUCGGUGAUGGAUGGGGAUGCGUCUGAUUAGCUUGUUGGCGGGGUAACGGCCCACCAAGGCGACGAUCAGUAGGGGUUCUGAGAGGAAGGUCCCCCACAUUGGAACUGAGACACGGUCCAAACUCCUACGGGAGGCAGCAGUGAGGAAUAUUGGUCAAUGGGCGAGAGCCUGAACCAGCCAAGCAGCGUGCAGGAUGACGGCCCUAUGGGUUGUAAGCUGCUUUUAUAAGGGAAUAAAGUGAGUCUCGUGAGACUUUUUGCAUGUACCUUAUGAAUAAGGACCGGCUAAUUCCGUGCCAGCCGCCGCCGUAA
rnacentral:rRNA from 1 species